rnacentral:rRNA from 1 species
CGGCGAGUGAAGCGGCAACAGCUCAAAUUUGAAAUCUGGUCCCCUUUGGGGGCCCGAGUUGUAAUUUGAAGAGGAUGCUUUUGGCGAGGCGCCUUCCGAGUGCCCUGGAACGGGACGCCACAGAGGGUGAGAGCCCCGUAUGGUCGGACGCCGAGCCUAUGUAAAGCUCCUUCUACGAGUCGAGUAGUUUGGGAAUGCUGCUCAAAAUGGGAGGUAAACCCCUUCUAAAGCUAAAUACCGGCCAGAGACCGAUAGCGCACAAGUAGAGUGAUCGAAAGAUGAAAAGCACUUUGAAAAGAGAGUUAAACAGCACGUGAAAUUGUUGAAAGGGAAGCGCUUGCGACCAGACUUGCGCCCGUCGGAUCAACCGUCCCUCGUGGGCGGCGCACUCCGGCGGGCUCAGGCCAGCAUCAGUUUCCCGGGGGGGAGAAAGGCGGUGGGAAUGUAGCUCUUCGGAGUGUUAUAGCCCUCCGUGUAAUACCCCCUGGGGGACUGAGGACCGCGCUUUAUGCAAGGAUGCUGGCGUAAUGGUCGUCAGCGACCCGUCUUGAAACACGGACCAAGGAGUCGUCCUAAUAUGCGAGUGUACGGGUGUAAAACCCCUGCGCGUAAUGAAAGUGAACGGAGGUGAGAGCUUCGGCGCAUCAUCGACCGAUCCUGAUGUUCUCGGAUGGAUUUGA